UACGGAAGGGGCAAGCGUUGUUCGGAAUCAUUGGGCGUAAAGGGCGCGUAGGUGGUUCUGUAUGUCUACCGUGAAAGCGUACGGCUCAACCGUAUUUUGUCGGUGGAAACUGCAGGACUUGAGGCUGGGAGGGGCUGGUGGAAUUCCCUGUGUAGCAGUGAAAUGCGUAGAGAUGGGGGAGAACACUCGUGGCGAAGGCGGCCAGCUAGACCAGUUCUGACACUGAGGCGCGACAGCGUGGGGAGCAAACAGG
rnacentral:rRNA from 1 species